AAUAUCCAUCUCACCCAUUUGUGCAUCAUCGCGUGGGUCCUGCUUUUUGGCUUGUCCCAAGGAGGGGGGCUCGCGUUUUCACACAAACACCCUUUUAAUGCAGUGUAGAAUGUUCUUUUGCGAUGACUCGCAAUAAAUACAACUUUCAACAACGGAUCUCUUGGCUCUCGCAUCGAUGAAGAACGCAGCGAAAUGCGAUACGUAAUGUGAAUUGCAGAAUUCAGUGAAUCAUCGAAUCUUUGAACGCACCUUGCGCCCCUUGGCAUUCCGAGGGGCACACCCGUUUGAGUGUCGUGACAUUCUCAAAAAGAA
rnacentral:misc_RNA from 1 species